ensembl:misc_RNA 7SK 7SK RNA
GAGUGUGAAGGUGCUCUGGCUGCGACAUCCAUUGACAACGCUGGUUCAGCUGAUCUAGCUGGCUCUGCUGCUGUCCCUCUCCGCCCUCAUCGCUCCAUGUGUGCCCCUCCUGAAGCUGCAUGCUUGGUCAGAGAGGAUGAGCUUCUCUGACAGUGGAGGACCUCUGUUCUUUGGACAAAGGUAUACAGGUAUACGGUCAUGCUUCCCUGCUAGCACCUCCAAACAAGUUCUCAAGAAAAUAGCAAAGAUGCCCUAGAAAUGGAGAAAGGGAAAACAAUAACAGCACAGAAUCCCAGGAAGCU